GCUGAAUAGUGGAGAGAAAAAAGCUCUGUAUUUAUUGCUUUUGUUUGGCUUUUGGCUACAGAGACAGGAACAUUCUAAUGGGGGCAUAUGAUGACCUCAUGAACCACCCUUUAGACUUCCAGUGCUUCUGGCUUUAAUAUUCUGUGCUAGAUUCACAGAGCUCUUCUACAGAUGCUAAGCGUUCAAUCCUGAAGGCUCCACUUCAUCAUCAGAAUGAGUAUGUAAAGUUCUGAAUGUCAAAGCUGUGCUACCCUCAAAUUCAUCUUCCAUGAAUAUUCAGGUGAGAAAAUAUCAGGAAACAAGAGCCUGGACUACAAAUGCUCUGUGUAACUUGCAGCCUCCAUAGGACCUUGAGUGUCUGUCACUGAGCCUAACAGUCCAUGCAGCAAUUUUGGCCCAUGGUGAAACCACAGCAAGAGAAGCAUGAUCAGCAAAUGUCACCCAUGUAGCAGAGACCUGGGGCAAGCUAAUCCAAAGAGGUCGUUAGUCUCAGUGGCUGUACUCUACACUGCUGAGUAAAUACACCACCCUCUUCUCUGGCCAGCAGGUCCCAAACAAGGAAUCAUCAGUAUCAUGCGUGAAUUGCCUUUGCAAAGGAACUAGCAAGCUGAGUCAUCUGGAUAGAUAACAUACAAAAUCUGCUGACUCUGGGAAGAUUUAGGUCCUGACCCAGAACCUCAGUUGUUACAUGUCCCUUGAGCUUCAACCUGGAACUUCUGGGCUCUCCUGCACCAAGUGGAGUGGAUAACAAUGGAGACCUAAGGUAAGUGUCACUAGCACUCAGCCUCUGAUCCCAUGAAUGGUUCAUAGUAACAGGAGGUGGCUCUGGAAAGCCCUUUGGUGCUGCUGCUUGUCAGUCCCUGCCUGCAGGUGUUUGCUGUGAAAUCUUUUAUUUUAUUGUUGAGGAGAAUGACACUAUGAUAAAAGAGAAUAUUGAGACAUUAAAAUGUGUAUUUCAAUAUUCUGAGUGUAAACAUAAAUACCAAGAUUUUUCUUUGAGGUGUAUGAAUAUCAAUGCAAACAUAUAGUCAUAUAUGUGAUGUGUAUUUGGAUAAAUAAUUUGUUCUGUACGAAUAACUACCACGGACAGAGAUAUGUAUAAUUUAAGGUGGUGAAAGGAAAGAAAUCCAAUGUUACAGAACAGAAUAAUAACCACAAGUGUAAACUGAUGAACUAUGAUGGGUCUUGCUAAAGAAAGAUAUAGGGCAAAACCGUCAAGUGUAUAUAUAUGUAUGAAGCAUGGCAACAAGUAUGUUGGUCUAACAUUGUAAUUUAAGGAGACUUGGCUUAGCUUACAAAAACCCCUAAGAACACCUAAUUAAGUGUCUUUACAGUGAUAGUUAUAUUUAGACAGAUUGGUCUGGGGAAAACAGAGAGGUUGGGACUCUGUACAAAUACAAGACAAUAUCCUGAGAUCAGAAACAUAUGUUUUCCCUGUGUGAAAGAGUAUACAAACAAUUAUCCACUUAUCAACAAAUAUCUCCUAUUGCUCCUGUCUCCCAGAACCAUAUACAACUGUGCCAUUCUACCACCAUAGAAGUGAAGAACCUGUCAAACCAAUUGAGUCAACUUUUCAGCAAAGUGGCACCUUAGUGGGACUAACAACGUCAAGGAACAAGGUGGAAGUCAGACAGAGCUUGUCUGGAGUGACGGCACUGAAAAUCCAAAUUCCCUUUUGAAAACCUUAGUCAUUGCAUGUGCAUUACCUGCUAGACUAAGUUACCAAUUUAAAUGGUGAAACCUCAAGAGGCCCAUGCAUUGGGCUAGCCAAUCUAUAUCAAAGGAGGUGAGGAAACCUAUUGCUUGGUUGAUUGAAUCUGACUGAGGUUCAAUUUUCUGUACUGAUAACCUCCUCUUUAAUUCUUUUGUUCCUCUUCUUUCCAAAUUAUCUACACCCUCGGGUACUCUGAAAAAAAAUGAGAUCUUACCUGGUAAUAUUCAUGCUUUUGUUGGCCUGUCUUCAACCCUGAGAGGGUGUGAGCAGCACCACUAAUACCAGUGGUGUACUUAACUGCCCAUGUCAGGACUGAACCAG